AAAAUCUUAUAGUGGAGGGUUUUAAGCAAGGAGAAUUACAUGAUCAAUCCAUUAAUCAACAAGCAUUUAUUGAGUACCUACUAGUGCUAGAACUGUAAAGAUGAAAAUUUAAGCAGUCCCUGCUAUCAAUCUUACAUCUAUCAUCCUUAUGUUAUAAUAUGAUUGACCUAGCAAUAGGGGAUCCAGAAUGGAUUAGAGACAGAAAGGCAGGUCCCCCCACCCAAAGUAUUUUCACCCACCACUGGCGGUGACCAGUCAUCUCUGGAUGCUUCAUGUCUGCUUUUUACUAAUUUACUUUUACUACUUUACUAAUUCAAGGCUGCCACCUGGUAUGUUGACUCCCCGAGGACAAGGACAAGGACUAUUUGCCAGCACCUUAUGUAUGGAAACUAGGAGUAUAAUAACUACAAGCACCCCAGACCUCAGGAGCAAAACAGCAGGAAAUAAAAUCAGGAUGGAAGAGGCAAAAUGUUGCCACAUGGACUCCCAGAAAUCUCAAGCCCCUUUUGAAGAACAGCCUUCUACAAGCUAG
rnacentral:lncRNA from 1 species